rnacentral:rRNA from 1 species
AGUGAACGCUGGCGGUAGGCCUAACACAUGCAAGUCGAACGGCAGCACAGGAGAGCUUGCUCUCUGGGUGGCGAGUGGCGGACGGGUGAGGAAUACAUCGGAAUCUACCUUUUCGUGGGGGAUAACGUAGGGAAACUUACGCUAAUACCGCAUACGACCUACGGGUGAAAGUGGGGGACCGCAAGGCCUCACGCGAUUAGAUGAGCCGAUGUCCGAUUAGCUAGUUGGCGGGGUAAUGGCCCACCAAGGCGACGAUCGGUAGCUGGUCUGAGAGGAUGAUCAGCCACACGGGAACUGAGACACGGUCCAGACUCCGACGGGAGGCAGCAGUGGGGAAUAUUGGACAAUGGGCGCAAGCCUGAUCCAGCCAUACCGCGUGGGUGAAGAAGGCCUUCGGGUUGUAAAGCCCUUUUGUUGGGAAAGAAAUCCUGUCGAUUAAUACUCGGUGGGGAUGACGGUACCCAAAGAAUAAGCACCGGCUAACUUCGUGCCAGCAGCCGCCGCCGUAA